CCUCACCGCCUCUCUUUCUUUGAUCAACAUUCUCCCCCCUGUGCCGUCGGAGCCCCCGGCCUCCUCCCCCCAGCCUCUCGCCAUCAUCCCCGCUUCGGAUCCAGCAUCCCCAUGUCAGAUCGAAGCUUCCCGAGCCCCACCCCUUUCUUCCUCGGUGCUGCUAGCUGUGUCCCGAUGCUGACGUCCUGCCGCCUAACCUCCCCUUAUCUUCUUGGCCUCCUCUUUUUGUUUUCC
rnacentral:lncRNA from 1 species